UGUGAUAUCAUACAUAGCAAAGAGGACAGUGCAGAUGUGGUUAAGUUGAAGAUCUUGAAAUGGGAAGAUAUUCCUGAAUUAUCUAGGAUCAGAGUUAAAGACAGAUAAUGAAAAAAGCGGGUGGGAGGGGGAGGAGAAUUAAGGACUUGAAGUUGCUAUGCUUCUGGUUUUGAAGAUGAGGAAGGGGCUAAGGAAUGCAGAUGGUCUUUAGAAGCUUGGAAAGGCAAGGACAUGGAUUAGUCUCUAGAGCCCCAGAAGGAACACAGCUUGCUGACCCAUUUUAGACUCCAGUUCUCCAGCACUGGCACACAAUAUGUGUUCUUUUAUGCCACUAAAUGUGUGGUAAUUGGUCACAUCUGCAAUAGAAAACUAAUACAGUUAAUAACCGAGAGAGCAUUACAAAGUCCAAUUCCCGGAU